rnacentral:rRNA from 1 species
CACGUAGUUAGCCGUGGCUUCCUCAUAAAGUACCGUCACUUGCAUGUCAUUCCCUACAUGUAUCGUUCUUCCUUUAUAACAGAGGUUUACAUACCGAAAUACUUCCUCCCUCACGCGGCGUUGCUCGGUCAGGGUUUCCCCCAUUGCCGAAAAUUCCCUACUGCUGCCUCCCGUAGGAGUCUGGGCCGUGUCUCAGUCCCAGUGUGGCCGUCCACCCUCUCAGGUCGGCUACGCAUCGUCGCCUUGGUAGGCCGUUACCCUACCAACUAGCUAAUGCGCCAUAAGUCCAUCCUUCAGCUAUCCCGUGGGAUAUUUAAUAUGUAGAUCAUGCGAUCUUCAUACCUAUGCGGUCUUAGCUAUCAUUUCUAAUAGUUAUCCCCCUCUUAAGGCCAGGUUACUUAUGUAUUACUCACCCGUUCGCCACUCAUAUCCGAAGAUAUGCGUUCGACUUGCAUGUAUUAGGCACGCCGCCAGCGUUCAUCCUGAGCCAGGAUCAAACUU